AAAAUUAUAAAUCACACAAAAACUUACAUAUAAAAAUUAUCUAAACAGCAAUUUAUUAAACAAACUAGAAUCAAAUUUCAUAAA
rnacentral:rRNA from 1 species